ensembl:snoRNA SNORA63 Small nucleolar RNA SNORA63
UAGCAGGAUAAGUUACAGUGUAGCUUGUUCCGUGCUACUCUGUCGUUCCCCCUGCACACAUUAACUAGUUUCCUACUAUCCCUGUCAGUCUGCAUCCCACGGCUGGCAGGGACGCUUGGUCUCAAAACA